rnacentral:lncRNA from 1 species
UAAAGCCGAGACAAAUUAAGUUUUCCAUAUAUAUAAAAAAUGUGAUUUUUUGUGUGUCUCUCGAUCCUGAUCUUAUUCCUAUAUAUGUAUAGUGCAUGAAAAAUGUGAAAGACAAAUUCUUAACAUCACACAAAUGAGCUUACAUACUAAUAACACACUAUAGGAACACUAAAAACUAAGUUAUUAGUGAUUACAAUAAUCCCAUGAAAAGGAAAGAUAAGAACACCAAUUACAAACCCUUUAAAGGGACUCAUAAGAUGACAAAGCUGUCUCUUUUAAGAAGCACAAUAAUUGUAGGCAUUAUAAAUAUUUGAAGUGGUAACAAGUUUUUUAUUAGCUAAUUAAUUUCCUAUCCAAGCUAAGUGGAGCAGGUGUUUUUGCAUGCGGUUGGAUUAUAUUGUCAUGAAGUCCAACAAUUGAUAAAGAUUAAAUUUAAAACGUCUCAUCGUGAAGAAUUUUCAGAUUUUAUAGAAACAAACGUAUCGGUGAUUCGCUAUUAUUAAUAUCGAUAUUAUUAUAAAUUUAACUACGUGCAAAGCCUAGCUAACAUCGUAUGAUUUUAUCACAAUUACAGAAUUCAAUGAUUGAGGGGUUAAAGAGUUAAAAAUAAUAAUAAUAUAAAAAAUAAAAAAAGGAAAAAGGAAAAAAAAAGCAAGAGCACCUUCAUAAGCUAAAUUUGAGGCCAACAUAGUAAAUUGGGCAAGUUUCGAGUGGAAACAGAGUUUUGAAAACAACAUCCAUGAUUCUCUCUCAUGUAAAGGAAGUGCAUUAUAAGAGAGAUGGCAUUUGAUCGAUGAGGCCAGCUUUGCAUCUACCUGGGUGCAGGUAUCUGACACCACCAGCUCAUCAUCUUGGUCAGGUAAGAUCAUGAUGUGGUCCAAAUGGCCCUAGCUAGUGAUUUUCCCAUAAGCUUUUUGACCCUCUAAAAGCAGCAAUAGUAGUUGCGGUAUUUUGGCUCAAUCUCCCUCAAAUAAACCAAGCAAGACACACAAAUCAACAGUGUAAAGCUGAAGCAGGGUCCAACAACAACUACGGUACAACCGUACACGGCAAAUCAUCUUUUUCUGUAAUGUCUUUGGUUGUAAAGAAAAUAGUGUUUGCACAUAUUAUAUAUGUUGUUGAGGAAAUUACAUAAUUAUAUUUUCUUCAAGAAGCACCUAGAUAAUUGAGACUCGGAUAUCUCGCUCUUUUUAAGGAGAUUCAAGCUCACCGUUGUUUGGCAGUGCCCAUGAACCAAUGCAGCAGUAUAUCUCUUGAGUUGUCCCGUUCAGGAUACAACCACCCAACUGAAUCGUUGUAUGAUACUAUUUGCACAAAAUGAUGAGUCCAAAGCUCCAUCACCAAAAAAUAAAUAAAUAAUUCGAGAGGAAAGAUAAGAUAUGAGAGAGGAAUGCGAAAGAUGAGAUGAUAAGGGAUGACUGAAAUGGUGAGAAGAGAGGUGCUAUUUAUAGGCUCAUAGGAUCACCCCUAAAUUAAUAGGGUUCACAAAUCAACUGUUGAAGAAUAUAAGUCCC